GUCCACGCCCUAAACGGUGGGUACUAGGUGUAGGGCUCGUAAGGGUUCUGUGCCGAAGCGAAAGCAUUAAGUACCCCGCCUGGGGAGUACGGCCGCAAGGUUGAAACUCAAAGGAAUUGACGGGGCCCGCACAAGCGGUGGAGCAUGUGGUUUAAUUCGACGCAACGCGAAGAACCUUACCUGGGCUUGACAUGUUAGUGGUAAGGACCCGAAAGGGCGAUGAUUCCCGCAAGGGAAAGCUAACACAGGUGCUGCAUGGCUGUCGU
rnacentral:rRNA from 1 species